CACUGAUUUACAGCAAUUUCUGAAAAUCAGACAAGAACGGAGGCGAGACAUGACUGGAAUUCUAACUCCUCCUCCUCCUCACAGGGCAGGUACCUCUGCUGGAGAGAAGAACAGCACAGCAGAGAGGGAAGGAGACAGCAUGGUGCCUGGACCCCACUUGGGGACAGGGUGGCCGAACAGCAGGGGCAUCCGUCUCCUGUUGGGGUAGCAAAGCUAACAAGAGCACCAAGGUCAAGGCUAAGAGAGGAGGUGUUUUCAUUGGCAAAGUGAAAUCCUCAAAAUCAUGGCACUGAUUUCCUCUGCUUCCGUGUUCUCCCAAUAUUCUGUGGUCCGGGAUAUUUAAAAACAUUUCUUAAUAUUUAUUUUAAUGAAAGCAAUAUCUGUGCCUUGGUAAAAGAUUAUAAUGAAAUUUCAGCCGACCCUGGAUUUCCCCUUACAACUUCACCUCCUCUCCCACUUCCUUGGAAGCAACCACAUUUAGUAUUUUAGGCUGCCUUGCCUAGUAUUCAUCUCCAUAUUUUAAGUAAUAUACUAAAAUUAAUAUUUGUCGAGUUACCAAUGGUAAGCGUUAUCUACUUUAUUACUAUUAAAGAAAGUAAGUGUUUAAAUCUCUUACAUUAUGACCUCCCAAACACACACACACUAACUCUCUUUCCUACCUCCAGUUUUUCCAAAUAAUAUCUCAAUUUCUGUUUAAACCAGUAUUUGGUGUUAACAUUAUUAGAACCACAUAAAUAAUGUUAAUUCCUUGAUAAAGUAGCAUAUGAAAGGUUUAAUACCUACCAGAUAUUAACUCCUUUUGUUUUUCCUGUAGAUUACAGUUGCCUCUGGUUUUUGUUUACCACGCACAUACCAUUAGUUCCUCUUAAAAGUUACUACACAAAAAUCUUAAUACUGUCUUUCUACAUGGACUGGUUUCUUUAUUCUAUUCUAUACUUUCUCAAAAUGGACUGGUUUCAUUUAGUCGUCAUGCCUGGCUGCUGACCUGGGACUUGCCUUCUUAAUUUCAUGGGUCUUUCCCUUUUUUCCUGGCUCCCCAGUCACUUUUUUUGAAUUACUCAUUUAUUUUGUUGGA
rnacentral:lncRNA from 1 species